CAAAUCAGGUAGGACUACCCGCUGAACUUAAGCAUAUCAAUAAGCGGAGGAAAAGAAACUAACAAGGAUUCCCCUAGUAACUGCGAGUGAAGCGGGAAAAGCUCAAAUUUAAAAUCUGGCGACCUUUGGCCGUCCGAGUUGUAAUCUAGAGAAGCGUUAUCCGCGCUGGACCGUGUACAAGUCUCCUGGAAUGGAGCGUCAUAGAGGGUGAGAAUCCCGUCUUUGACACGGACUGCCAGGGCUUUGUGAUACGCUCUCAAAGAGUCGAGUUGUUUGGGAAUGCAGCUCAAAAUGGGUGGUAAAUUCCAUCUAAAGCUAAAUAUUGGCGAGAGACCGAUAGCGAACAAGUACCGUGAGGGAAAGAUGAAAAGAACUUUGGAAAGAGAGUUAAACAGUACGUGAAAUUGCUGAAAGGGAAACGCUUGAAGUCAGUCGCGUCGUCUGGGAAUCAACCUUGCUUUUGCUGGGCGUACUUUCCAGACGACGGGCCAGCAUCAAUUUUGACCGUUGGAUAAAGUUGGGAGGAAUGUGGCAUCUUCGGAUGUGUUAUAGCCUCCCAUUGCAUACAACGGUUGGGAUUGAGGAACUCAGCACGCCGCAAGGCCGGGUACUUGUACCACGUUCGUGCUUAGGAUGCUGGCAUAAUGGCUUUAAUCGACCCGUCUUGAAACACGGACCAAGG
rnacentral:rRNA from 1 species